AAAAGAGGGUCAAGGAAAAGCACAAGGACUUCUUGGGAGACACUAAGGGGCGAGCUAGCACGUUGAAAGUUGCAUUACAAUAGCAGGAACGUGUGUCACACCAACAAGAUGGGCCCUCUUAAACAAAGGACUUUCAAAAACGAGACUAGCAAAAAUGACAGCUUCAGGGUCUACAGAGCCAAGUAGCAGUAAACAAGAAGUUGCAAACUGAGUGAAAAACAAUUUCCACGACUUAUUUCUUAAAAACAACUUUUAAUGAAGGUAUUAAAAAUCACUUUACUUA